GAGUUUCUCAGCUUCAACGUGGAAUCUUCUAACAACUGCUCCAAUGAUUCGCUGACUGUGUAUAACGGAGCCGACGCCAAUGCGACCAUGUCAGCCAGGUUAUGUGGGCAUAGCUUGCCCAAGAAUCAAGCCUUCAACGAAACGAAUAUGUUCCUGCAUUUUGUCAGCGAUUCUAAUAGAAGCUACAGUGGGUUUCAAAUCCGCUACCGUUUCAAUGAAACUAAACCAUGGGAAGGAUGUAACGGAGUUAAUCACACAUACGACAACCCAGCGGGCGGCAUCAUGACGUCACCAUUGUUUCCCAACAAUUACCCCAAAAAUUCCUAUUGCAAGUGGCAAUUCCAAGCACCGCCUGGAAAGGUCGUACAUCUAGAGUUUCUCA